UGGCAUAUAUUGGAGUUUAAGGACCCUGGGUAUGGCCCAUUUACCAUGGUUGGAGCAGCAGGCCUGUGGGAAGGAGAGACAACUGAUUUGACUUCCCUAGAGCCCACUUCAUCCACAAGGCCCUAUGUUAGUCUAGCAGCUGGCAGGAAUGGGACCCCAACAUGCUGUGAGACACAGGGUGGAGGCCCCAGGCACAUACAAGAGUCUUCCCUUGCCCUGUGAGUGUCUUAGUUCCGAAAGGAGCACUCCUCCUGCUGGCUACAUGCCUUGCAGAGCCCAUUCUUCUGACUUACAACCUUCCUGAAUCUAGUAUGCGGUGUUUAUUCUAGCUAGUUUGAAGCACCCUCUGAGUACUAGCUGUGGAAUACAAAUUGUGUAAUUUUGAUUUUCUUUAAAUAAUUUAGUGCUCUUAUAUUCCCAGUUAAAAAGGCAUUGUAACAAUGAGUGCUUAAAUUUAUGCUAAGAAUUUAAUAUUGUAACUUUCCUUUGCUUAGAGCAAUAUUAAAUAACAAAUAAAACACAUGAUAGAAAGUUGAGAGACAACAGAAGAAAAAAUUUCUUUUAAUACUUUAUAUACUUUUUCCCUGCAUUUUCAGCAAGGGAUCCUGCAUUUUCAUUUUGCACUUAACCUCUGCAAUUUAUGCUGCUACUUUGCUCACUCAAGGUAUUUCUGCUUCACCUCACUCCAUGCCCUUCACUUCAGAAUGCACUGAAUUUGGAAACUAUUAGAGAAAAUAUCCAUAUUCUGUAUCUGAACCAUGCUCUGUUCUUUCUACUAUUUACAAUGGAAAAAGAGUUCCUGCUUUUAUCCUGCACCAACCUAUCACCUUGUAUUCUGCACACUGUACUCUUAGACUUAUUAGGGACCUCCCACUAGCAAUCAUUCUCUCGCUCUCCUGAAUCAUCACACCUUCAUUAUUUUCAUCUCUUCCACAUGAUUCCCAUGUAUAUACAAAUGUGCUGCAGUAUUAUGCUUUUUUAAACUUUAACAUUAUACAAACAACAACAAUCACAUACACAACAAGGAAAUCUCUUGAUCUUUCAACCCAGCUGUAGCUGCCUUCCCACUUCUCUGUUGUCAUUCACAGAAAAAAAUCUCAAGAGUCAUGCUGCACUACCCACUCUAUCUUCACCUCAAAUCCACUCAUCUUCCCACUUCACUCCAGAUAUUGCCCAUACAUCUUCACUGAAAUUAUUAAAUUACCAAUCUCUUUAGUGCCAAAAUCAAUGCUCACUUAAUCCCCCAUCACACUUGACUUCUCAGCAGCAUUUGACAUAAUUGACAAUUCCUUUUUUUUUCUUAAAAUUCUUGGUGAUGGUGACUUCUGACUCUCCUCACUAUUCAUCUACCUUGUUGGCUAUUUAUUAGUUUUAUUUGCUACUUCUCCUCUAUUGAAACUUUGAGUGUUGGAAUGGAUCCAAAACCUAGUACUUAUCUUUCUAAUUUUUCUUUGCACACCUUUCCUAGGGUACUUCAACCCAUAACUACAUAUAGUCCUGAGUAUAUAGCCACCUGCUUUAUCUCAGAUAUCUAACAGGCAUUUCAGAGUUAAGAUGGUCAAAAUGUAACUUUUUUUUUUUUUUAAAUGGAGUCUUGCUCUGUUGCCAGGCUGGAGUGCAGUGGCACGAUCUCAGUUCACUGCAACCUCCAUCUCCCAGGUUCAAGCACUUCCCCUGCCUCAGCCUCCCAAGUAGCUGGGAUUACAGGCAGGCGCCACCACGCACAGCUAAUUUUUUUUUUUUUUUGUAUUUUAGUAGAAACAGAGUUUCACCAUGUUGGCCAAGAUGGUCUCGAUCUCCUGACCUCGUGAUCCGCCCACCUCAGCCUCCCAAAGUGCUGGGAUUACAGGCACGAACCACUGCGCCCGGCCCAAAAUGAAAGGAGCCCCAGGCCUCUCAAAAAGUAUGAAAGAACUGGAAUUCACCAGAUCAUCACAUCCAGACAAUGAGACACCAGGCCCCUCAUUCAUCAUGAUGGCUUCUUUACCCCUAUGGAGUUCCUGUUUUCCCUUAGAUAGUUACAUUUCUUCCCUGCUAUAUAAACCCCUAAUUUUAGUCAAUCCCGAAGACGGAUUUGAGCUUCAGCUCCCAUCUCCUUGGCUGCAGACCUGAUUAAAGCCUUCUUCCGUGGCAGUACUUGUCAUCUCAGUCAUUGACUUUCUGUGCAGCAAGCAGCAGGACCUAGAUGCAACCUGUGGUGUUUCAGUAACACGUGUAGUAACUAACAUUGUCUGACAUGCUCAUUACAUGUCUUUUUCUAAUCCCAGUUUUGCUAUCUCCUCAAUUUUCAAUUGGAGAUUAUACCGCAUGAGGUAAUCUGUUUUGUAAAAAACAAAAAGCUAUUGGACUCUAUCCACAUGUGCAUAAUUUUUCACCCUAGAAUUAGAUCUUCCAUACUUACUUGAAAUAAUCAUAUAUAUUAGUGUAAACAGCAGAUUUAAAAAGAGAUUAGGCUUAGGUUCCGUAAACAGUAAAUGGUUAAUACGAUUUUUCAAAAUUGCUUUUUACAAGUGAAUCACUGGUUCAAACAUAGGAUAAGUUAGAAAUAAACAAAAUUAUUACCCUCUGAAAGUUAACUGGUGAUUUGGGUUCAGUUCCUAGUUUCCCCUGUACUAGUGUCCAGCCUCAACAAUUAGAUUUAAUUUAGCACGGCUGAUGGGAGCCUUCUCUGAAAGGGUUGCAUAAAUGGUUUCUGGGGUCAAGUAAUAAAAAUUCCUCCUAACUCAGGGGUGAAGUGCUGCUGAAAACUGGAACUCUUGAUAAUUUUAUGACCUCAGUUCAAUUCAGUUAGAUAAAGUAAAUACUUCUGUAGCAAUCACACACAAAGUACACAGAAAUUAAUAACUGAAGAAAUACUAUUCUGAGAACAUUGACACAUAGGCACACCUCAGCUUUUUUUUUGUUUUUAGGAUGCUAUUGCCUUCAAUUUACAGUGGUAAAACUAUAACCAUGCUUACCCAAAUUUCCCUCCCCACAGGGUAGGUGCUGCAGUUUAAUUUAAUUAGGGAGAAGUGAUUCUUACUUGGGUAUUGGUAUAUUAAUGACCAUUCUUAAAAGCUACCAGGGUCAAGUAAUUCUUUGACAAAACAUACCUAUUUGUAUUUAUCAUAUUUGAACAGAGAUAACUUGGAAACACUCAAUAAGCAGAAUGGUAAAGAAAUUUCAAAUUUUUAAUAUGAAAUCAAACAUUUUUCAUUUAAGCGUGAACACCACUGUUGCUAAACAUACUCUAUGGGUUGAAUUUUCCCAGAAACACCUGGUAACUCUCUUUCCUUUCCCUUUUGCCUCUUUAAGUAGGUGUUAAUCAUUUGCCAGAUCUGUGUUCCAGCCUAUCUAUGGUUCAGAGUCAAUAUUCAUAAUACAUGGCGGUGGUGGUGGUGUGUGUGUGUAUGUGCGCACGUGCAUGUGUUUGUGAGUCUUUGUUGAUUCUACUGAGUUGAUGUUUUUUUAACAAUGUCUUUGUCCAGAAUAUGUACGUAUUAGAGUUCCUCAGAUAACCUUCUACAACUUAAAUUCAAACUGCAAUCACUCCAAACUUGCUGACCUAUUUGCAAAUCUUUACACAUAUCUUUGCAUAUCUAUUUUCUCAUUUUCUUUCUUCUCUUCUCAUACUACUAUUUUUCACUUCUCCAUAUCUAAUUUUUCUUCAGUUGUUUAUAUCUGUAUUAGGGUUUAAACCCUGAGGUUUGUUCUUUCCCAUUCUCUGAACAAAGAGAGAGAUUCAUUCAAAAUUUGGAGAAAACCCAUCACUGAAGCAGUAAACAUCUGGCUUUGGGCAGUAUUGCUACAGAGCACGAUUGUAAAACACAUACUGUUUUCUGACACUUUUUCUUUUAUUUGCUUCUUUCUUUUGUUUGUUUUUUUAGUUCCUUAAUUUAAAAAUAAAUAUGUUAAUUAUAGAAGAAAUUAAAUAUAAAAAGUAUAAGUGAGAAAAAUCAAAGUCAUCCAUAUGCUUAACUCCUAGAAAGAGCCUGUUAACUUUCUGCUAAAUUGCCUUCUGAUCUUUUUCUAGUGUACGUGAAGGCUAGUUUGUAUAUAUAUGAAUAUAUUUAAAUAAAAUGCAUUUGCAUAUACAUGUACUUAUACAUACAUUCACGUAUAUUUGCAUACUUGGGAUCAUAGUGUAUAUAUUUCUUUAUCCAAUUUCUUACUUAUUAUAUUGUGAAUAAUUCCCAUGCCAUUUAACCUUCUUUUUC
rnacentral:lncRNA from 1 species